rnacentral:miRNA from 12 species
CUCGUCAGAGUGGUUAUGAUG